rnacentral:rRNA from 1 species
UUAAUGAGAGUUUGAUCCUGGCUCAGGACGAACGCUGGCGGCGUGCCUAAUACAUGCAAGUAGAACGCUGAGGACUGGUGCUUGCACCGGUCCAAGGAGUUGCGAACGGGUGAGUAACGCGUAGGUAACCUACCUCAUAGCGGGGGAUAACUAUUGGAAACGAUAGCUAAUACCGCAUAAAAGUGUUUAACCCAUGUUAAACAUUUAAAAGGUGCAAUUGCAUCACUAUGAGAUGGACCUGCGUUGUAUUAGCUAGUUGGUGAGGUAACGGCUCACCAAGGCGACGAUACAUAGCCGACCUGAGAGGGUGAUCGGCCACACUGGGACUGAGACACGGCCCAGACUCCUACGGGAGGCAGCAGUAGGGAAUCUUCGGCAAUGGACGGAAGUCUGACCGAGCAACGCCGCGUGAGUGAAGAAGGUUUUCGGAUCGUAAAGCUCUGUUGUUAGAGAAGAAUGAUGGUG